rnacentral:rRNA from 1 species
UACAGAGGGUGCGAGCGUUAAUCGGAAUUACUGGGCGUAAAGCGUGCGUAGACGGUUAUGUAAGUCAGGUGUAAAAGCCCCGGGCUCAACCUGGGAAUUGCAUUUGAGACUGCAUAGCUAGGGUGCGGAAGAGGGAAGCGGAAUUUCCGGUGUAGCGGUGAAAUGCGUAGAUAUCGGAAGGAACAUCAGUGGCGAAAGCGGCUUCCUGGUCCAGCACCGACGUUCAGGCACGAAAGCGUGGGGAGCAAACAGG